UCCCUGGUGGUCCAGCGGUUAAAACGUUGCACUUUCAAUGCAGGGGGUGCAGGUUUGAUCCCUGGUUGUGGAA
rfam:TPA: Bos taurus chromosome 2, whole genome shotgun sequence.